AGAGUUUGAUCCUGGCUCAGAUUGAACGCUGGCGGCAUGCUUUACACAUGCAAGUCGAGCGGCAGCGCGGGGGCAACCCUGGCGGCGAGCGGCGAACGGGUGAGUAAUGCAUCGGAACGUACCCUGGAGUGGGGGAUAACGCCGCGAAAGCGGCGCUAAUACCGCAUAUGCUCUGAGGAGGAAAGUGGGGGACCGCAAGGCCUCACGCUCUGGGAGCGGCCGAUGUCCGAUUAGCUAGUUGGUGAGGUAAAGGCUUACCAAGGCGACGAUCGGUAGCUGGUCUGAGAGGAUGAUCAGCCACACUGGGACUGAGACACGGCCCAGACUCCUACGGGAGGCAGCAGUGGGGAAUUUUGGACAAUGGGGGCAACCCUGAUCCAGCCAUGCCGCGUGAGUGAAGAAGGCCUUCGGGUUGUAAAGCUCUUUUGGUCGGGAAGAAAGUGCCCUGCUUAAUACGCGGGGUAUUUGACGGUACCGGCAGAAUAAGCACCGGCUAACUCUGUG
rnacentral:rRNA from 1 species